AGUUUGAUCCUGGUUCAGAUUGAACGCUGGCGGCAUGCUUUACACAUGCAAGUCGAACGGCAGCAUGACCUAGCUUGCUAGGUUGAUGGCGAGUGGCGAACGGGUGAGUAAUACAUCGGAACGUGUCCAAUAAUGGGGGAUAACGCAGCGAAAGCUGUGCUAAUACCGCAUACGCCCUGAGGGGGAAAGUGGGGGAUCUUAGGACCUCACGUUAAUGGAGCGGCCGAUGUCGGAUUAGCUAGUUGGUGGGGUAAAGGCUCACCAAGGCGACGAUCCGUAGCUGGUCUGAGAGGAUGAUCAGCCACACUGGGACUGAGACACGGCCCAGACUCCUACGGGAGGCAGCAGUGGGGAAUUUUGGACAAUGGGGGCAACCCUGAUCCAGCCAUGCCGCGUGAGUGAAGAAGGCCUUCGGGUUGUAAAGCUCUUUCGUGAGGGAAGAAACGGCCAUCACUAAUAAUGGUGGUUAAUGACGGUACCUCAAGAAGAAGCACCGGCUAACUACGUGCCAGCAGCCGCGGUAAUACGUAGGGUGCGAGCGUUAAUCGGAAUUACUAGGCGUAA
rnacentral:rRNA from 1 species